AACCUGGAAACCCUCUAGAUAAUGGUAAUUAGUUAUUGAACAUCUGCUAAAUACUGUGUUAAACACUUUAUAUGUUAACUUUUCCAAUAACCCUAUCAGGUAGGACUUCUAAUUUUUGAAUUUUAAAUGAUGAAGGUAAAGGUUAAUAGUUUAAAUAAAUUGUCCAAGAUUAUACAACUGGUGAGAUGUGGAACUGGGCUCUGGUGUCUGUGCUAUUGACCAAAACACCCCAUAACUUCUCCCAUGGAGAGAGCAGAGGCGUCAACGCUCUUAAACAGGUUACCAAGAGUGUUCUUGCCCAGCUUGCCCAUUUCACCCAGUCCGAGCCAAUGCUAUUGUCUUUGUUCUCUAUGUAAAUACCAACUUACUCUCCAGAGAGCCAGGGUUUAGCACAUGCUUCAUUUGGUGAGCACAAGCUAUUGCUAAUCUUCCUUUCUCUUUCCUUUUCUGCAUCCACUAUUUCUAGAAAGAGCUGGCCCACACUCUUUUCUGCAUGGCCGCAACCCAAAUGUGGCCUGAAAUAUUCCAAUCUGAGACUGAAGCACCUUCUCCUCUAGCACCCUUGUUUCAUUUAUAAUAUUUCUCAUGUGCUGAACUGAGAUGCUGGGUAAAUCCCAUCUGUUCUUCUAGCUCCUUGACACCUUUACUAUAGCAGAAAGGAAGAGAAUCGACGGGGCUGAGCCCUGAUCUGUCUCUCCCACUAGGUGAGGCCAGCUGGAGGAUGACAGAAAGAAGGUAUUUCAGGUGUUGAGAGAAAGCUCAGUGCAGCAGAGAGAAUAUGACACAGCUCCUGACAGGUCCUUGGAGCUGAGGCAUCUUAUUUAGUUGUAUUCACACCACAGGUGUUUUCCUAUGAGUAUGCAAAUAGCCAAGCAAGGCAGGUCAGCUUGGGAAGAGAAGUGCAGAGCUGUCCUCCAGGAAUGCUUUGUGCCCUGCACCCCACCCCACACCUCAUACCUGAGAUUCUGCAAUGGCUGUGAUGGUUCCUGACAUGGCCGAUACAACACUCCUGAGUCAGUUCAAAAUGGGUCGUAAAGCAGCAGAGCCAACUUGCAACAUCAACAACUCAUUUAGGCCAGGAGCUACUAAGAACAUACAUUGCAGUGGCAUUUUAAGAAGUUUUGUAAAACAGUUGAGAGUCUUCAAGCUGAGGAGCAUAGUGGCCUGCCAUCGGAAGUGGAUAGUAACCAGUUGGGAGCAGUCGUCGAGGCUGAUUCUCUUACAACUACAUAAGAAGUUGCCAAAGACCUCAGCGUCCACCAUUCUAUGGUCAUUCAACACUUAAAGCAAAUUGGAAAGGUGAAAAGGCUUGAUAAGUGGGUGUCUCAUGAGCUCAGUGAAAAUAAAAAAAUUACUGUUUUGAAGUGUGGUGUUCUCUUAUCGUACGUAGAAACAAUGGACCAUUUCUUGAUUGGAUUGUAACAGGUAAUGAAAAGUGUAUUUUAUGUGACAACUAGUAAUGACCAGCUCAGUGGCUGGACUGAUAAGAAGCUUCAAAGCCAAACCUGUAUCCAAAAAAGUUUACAGUCACUGUUUGGUGGUCAGCUGCUGGUCUGAUCCACUACAGCUUUCUAAAUCACAGUGAAACCAUUACAUCUGAGAGGUAGACUCAGCAAAUAUAUGAGAUACAUUGAAAAUUAUAGCACUUGCAACUGGCAUCAGUCAACAGAAAGGGCCCAAUUCUUCUCCAAAAACUCCUGACCACACAUUGCACAACCAAUGCUCCAAAAUUUAAAUGAGUUGGGCCAGGAGGUUUUGCCUCAUCCGCCAUAUUCGCCUGAUUUCUUGCCGGCCUACUACAACUUCUUCAAGCAUCUCAACAACUUUUGCAGGGAAAAUGCCUGCACAACCAGUGGGAUGCAGAAAAUGCUUUCCAAGAAUUAGUCAAAUCCUGAAGCAUAUAUUUUUAUAUGCUACAAGAAUAAACACUUAUUUCUCACUGGCAAAAAUGUGUUGAUUGUAAUGGUUCCUAUUUUGAUUAAUAAAGAUAUGUUUAAGCCUAGUUUUAAUGAUUUAAAAUUCAUGGUCCAAAACUGCAAUUACUUUUGCACCAAUCUACUUUGAAAAUGCUAAUAAAAAACUGAUGUGUUCAUGAAGAUUGCUAACCCAGAGUCAAGCAGAACAAGAAUUAAUUACAUGGGUCUGAACUGAUAGGCUGAAAUAAUAUCUUAUGACUUUUUGUUUGAAACAUUGCUGAUUAUUUUAAUAUUUUGUUUUCCAGAAUAAAGACAACUUUUUUUUUGAGCUAUUGAUCACUUACAGCAAUUGAGUAAAAUAUGUUUGUGAGUAAAAUUAAAACAUUUCUUCCUCUCUAUCUGAAUUCUCUAGAAUACAGAAACUAUUUAUUAGUAUUGCCAUUUUCUGGCAACAUAGUUAUUUGCAUAAGUUCAAUAAGAAUAGUGUUUUUUUUGUAAUCUGAAACAUCGAAACAUUCUUUCUUUUAUCAAUAUUUUGAAUGAAAUGGCUAAUUUUUAGAUAUGACCAAGCUGGUUUGAGGGAUCGAGGCUGACUUUAUAAAGCUAAUAGACUUGGAAAAAUGCUGGUCUGGUACUUGGUUGGUAUACAUGGUUCCCUUACACGGAUCCAGAUCUUGCAAUAUGCAAAGUUUCCUCAGAUAAAAAGUUUCUUUUCUUUCUCAUUCUUCCCUUUUGAUCAAAAAUCAAAGGUUCCUGACAGGCCCAGGAACCUCAAGAUAUUUUGAGACCUUGAGAAGAGAGAAAUUGACCUAAUUUGCACGAGCACUAUAGAUCCCGUCUGAUGAUAAAUUUUUGGCUCGACUUCCUAGCUUUAAGAGACUUUUAAAGUUAUGAUCUGAAAUCUCCGAUGAAAAAGUUCCAGCCAAGCCAAGUAAAAGGAGUCUAUGUGAUCACUUUUCUUGCUGUGCUUUCUGUAGGUAAUCAGGCCAAGUGAAAUAAAGGCUAAUACUUAUUUGACAAACAAAUUCUUUCUACUAUUAUUUGUAUUUAGUAAAAUCAGAGUGACUGGAGAGAGAAAAAACAUGUUUUAGUAAGACACUUCUUACUAGACUCUAGCUCUGACCAUUGGUUUUGAGUUUUUAUUAUUUGUUUACAAUUUAAACUGAAUCCUGAAUUAUUUCUUGGGUAAAAGCUUGUAAAGAAGAACUGAGUUUUAAUUUUUUAAAUGACAUUUUUAGUUGGAAUCUUUUUUUGUCAUUGCUGAUUUUUGUUGCUAUUGUUCUGGCGUACAUUAUUUUUUUUUUAUUUUAUUUUUUUUUUGAGACAGAGUCUUGCUCUGUUGCCUAGGCUGGAGUGCAAUGGUAUGAUCUCAGCUCAUUGCAACCUCCGCCUCCUGGGUUCAAGUGAUUCUCCUGCCUUAGCCUCCUGAGUAGCUGGGACUACAGGCAUGUGCCACCACACUUGGCUAAUUUUUCUUUUCUUUUUCUUUUUUUUAAUUUUUAGUAGAGACGGGUUUCACCAUGUUAGCCAAGAUGGUCUCGAUCUCCUGACCUCAUGAUCUGCUCACCUUGGCCUUUUUUUUUUAUUUUUAGUAGAGACGGGUUUCACCAUGUUAGCCAAGAUGGUCUCGAUCUCCUGACCUCAUGAUCUGCUCACCUUGGCCUCCCAAAGUGCUGGGAUUACGGGUGUGAGCCACCAUGCCUGGCCACAAAUUCCUUCUUUAAUUAUAAUCCUUGUGUACAUUAUGUUUCUACUAUUCAAAUGGUUUAUGCUAUGUAUCUAUUAUUAUUUUACUUAUUCCAAGAAAAUCAUGGUAUUCCAAAGAUUAAAGAGUAUUUAACAAGCAACAGCAGCUACAUAAAUCAAUGACUUGACUGAAGACUCGUUUCUUUGCCACUUAGUGAUGUCAUCCCAAUUCAGCUUUUGGAUGCUCUUAAAUUUUUUCACUGAAAUGCCUCCUACUUCCCUCUGAUUUGAUACAGUGCUAUUGAAGAAAAAGCCUCUUUGGUGACGAAGGACCUAUUGACACUCAGACUUUGAUCAUUAAUGCUAUCAAAAAAAGGGUUUUUGAUCAAAAGGGAAGAAUGGGAAAGAAAAGAAACUUUUUAUCUGAGGAAUGUGAAUUCCCUUUAAUUAUCAAGUCCAGAGAGAAAUUGAAAGGAAACAGCAGUCACAUUUUACUCCCUGCUUGAGCUAAAUAAUUACAAUUUGAAACCAUUUCCUAAGUGGGCUAUAGACUAACUGGUGCCAAAUCACCAUAAAACGCCAUUAGCUGGACACAAUAACUUACAGCCUUUAGUUCAACAAUGUAUAGCUAAAUACUCACCAAUCUGAAUUCUAUAGACCAGUGAAAAUUUCUGUCAAACAGCUUUGUAUCAGCCCACUCUUUAUCACCUUUUACCUUUAAAAAUAUGCUUGUACCAAAAGCUGAACGGUGCAUUCCCCAAUGCAGCUUGAAAGUAUGACCUAGAAAGCUGUCCUCACCCUUGGUCCAAAUGAACUCUCUAUAUUAAUUUUGCCUCAGUAUUAACUCCAAAGGCAAGUUCACUAUUUAAUUUUUUUAUAUUUGUGUAAUCAUGAUUUGCAAGUGUAUUUACCUAUAAUAGCAUUUAAAAUUAUUUUUCUAAUAUUUCUUUAAUUUGUGUAUGUUUGGUAUAUGCCUGUUUGUGGGUCUUUGUUUACUUGACUGACCUGUCAAAUUUUUAUGCAUUUUACUGGGCUUUAAAAAAAUAAAAACAUUAAGCCUUAUUUAUAAAUUAUUUUUGUCAUUAAUUUCUGAUGUUAUAAUUAUUAUAUCUUUUUUUUCUAUUUUAUUUGAGCUUCUUUUAUUUUU
rnacentral:lncRNA from 1 species